ACGUUAGUCUAUAACUUCUUUGUUUAAUCAAAUAAAAAACUAAAAAUGCAAUUUUACGGCUUUGUGGUUAUGAGCUGGACUAUUUCUCAGCCUUAACUGCUUCAAGAAAGCGAUGUUAAGGUGAAACAUAGCCUACAAGGAAACGGACUUCUGUACCCUCAGCGUUUAAUAUGAAGCAGAAAAAGGAGGGGAGAGGAGAGGCGCGUGUGCUGAUUUCCACCUUUGUCAAAAACAGACCGGAGGACUGAGACGGGUCGGAGGAGAACGACAGGAUCCUAUAGAUUGUUUCGAUUGAGACGUGAAAUCUCCUGACAGCACCCAGCAAUGGAUCUGGACAAAACGGAAAAGUUGGCCACAGCCAAACUCGAACAAAACGGAGAUUUAAAUGUGAGCAAAAGAAUGGAAAGAAAAAAGAAAAAAAAAAAAAAAGGUUGCCUGGGGUUUGGGCCCCAUUGAGUGU